rnacentral:rRNA from 1 species
CCUACGGGCGGCAGCAGUGGGGAAUAUUGGACAAUGGGGGGAACCCUGAUCCAGCCAUGCCGCGUGUGGGAAGAAGGCCCUCGGGUUGUAAAGCACUUUCAGUGAGGAAGAACGCGUGGUGGUUAAUACCCAUCAGGAAAGACAUCACUCACAGAAGAAGCACCGGCUAACUCCGUGCCAGCAGCCGCGGUAAUACGGAGGGUGCGAGCGUUAAUCGGAAUUACUGGGCGUAAAGCGCGCGUAGGUGGCUUGAUAAGCCGGUUGUGAAAGCCCCGGGCUCAACCUGGGAACGGCAUCCGGAACUGUCAAGCUAGAGUGCAGGAGAGGAAGGUAGAAUUCCCGGUGUAGCGGUGAAAUGCGUAGAGAUCGGGAGGAAUACCAGUGGCGAAGGCGGCCUUCUGGACUGACACUGACACUGAGGUGCGAAAGCGUGGGUAGCAAACAGGAUUAGAUACCCUAGUAGUC